CUUUCAAUUCUUUCGAGUAUAUAUCCAGAAGUGAUAUUGCUAGAUCACAUGGUAGUUCUAUUUUUAAUAUUUUGAGGAACCUCCAUACUAUUUUCCACAGGGGCUGCUCUAAUUUCCAGCCCUACCAAGAGUGUGCGAGGGUUCCCUUUCCUCCACGUCCUCGCCAGCGUUUAUU